rnacentral:rRNA from 1 species
UACGAAGGGGGCUAGCGUUGCUCGGAAUCACUGGGCGUAAAGGGUGCGUAGGCGGGCAGGUAAGUCAGUGGUGAAAUCUUCGAGCUUAACUCGGAAACUGCCUUUGAUACUAUCUGUCUUGAAUAUUGUGGAGGUAAGCGGAAUAUGUCAUGUAGCGGUGAAAUGCUUAGAUAUGACAUAGAACACCUAUGGCGAAGGCAGCUUACUACGCAUAUACUGACGCUGAGGCACGAAAGCGUGGGGAUCAAACAGG